GACGUAGGGGGCCAGCGUUGUUCGGAAUUACUGGGUGUAAAGGGUUCGUAGGCGGUGCGGCAAGUCGGGAGUGAAAUCUCUGGGCUUAACCCAGAGGCUGCUUCCGAAACUGCUGUGCUUGAGUGUGGGAGAGGCGCGUGGAAUUGCAGGUGUAGCGGUGAAAUGCGUAGAUAUCUGCAGGAACACCCGUGGCGAAAGCGGCGCGCUGGACCACUACUGACGCUGAGGAACGAAGGCCAGGGGAGCAAACGGG
rnacentral:rRNA from 1 species